rnacentral:rRNA from 1 species
UACGGGGGGGGUAGGCGUUGUUCGGAAUUACUGGGCGUAAAGGGCUCGUAGGCGGCCAACUAAGUCAGACGUGAAAUCCCUCAGCUUAACUGGGGAACUGCGUCUGAUACUGGAUGGCUUGGAUUCGGGAGAGGAAUGCGGAAUUCCAGGUGUAGCGGUGAAAUGCGUAGAUAUUGGGAAGAACACCGGUGGCGAAGGCGGCUAUCUGGACCGACAUUGACGCUGAGGCGCGAAAGCGUGGGGAGCAAACAGG